rnacentral:lncRNA from 1 species
GGCAUUGCAAGGUGGCAUUUCCUGAAUAAAAGCUUAUUAGCCUCGGUAAAUAUUCCAGCUUAAUUGAUCUGAGUCGUCCAAAUAUUAUCUCAUCGCAACCAUCUUCCUCUUCAUUUCUUGCAAUUUCUUUGAUUGAUCCACAAUAUCCUAUGCUUAGAGUCUCAAGUUUCACCAAACUUUUGAGUGUUGCAAACGUGAAUAA